UAGGAGUAUUUCUACUCCUAAUAUUGUGAGUAAACUUAUUAUCAUUUAAUUUAUCUAAGGUAGUUUUUAUGAAAUUUUAUAAAUUUUAUGAAAAAUGGAUUUUAAAAGGAUAAAUUUCGUGUUUUAUAAAUAAAUGUGUUUUUAUAAAAUGGUUUUAUAAAUUGUUUGAAAUUAAUGAUGAAUGUUAUUUUUCUUAAAUAGAGUACAUGGAGACUGUGGUUGUUAAGUAUGAAUUGUAUUUUUAAUUCAAAUGGCUGAUGAUAGUGUGAGCAUGCUUGGCUGGUUUAUUGUAUUGAAAUUACAUGAAUUAUGGUUUGCCGUGCAAAUUAGUUAUUAUAAAAAAAUUACCUUGUUAUGCUGUUAAACUAUUUUAUGAUUAUGGUGGGGCUGACCUACACUGCAGUGGCGGAUUUCUGUGGACCAUCCUAUUAGAGGGGCUCGGUAAACCCAACUAAUUUAUUUUACCUCUGUGGGAGAGGCGCAUAGGGUAACUCUUGUGGAGGGGUUUGAGUCCACUUCAUGCUUUACCACCACGUGAAAGUGAGAUUCAGCCAACGCCAAGGGAUGACUGUUUUAUAUGAAUAAGUCGUUUUAACAACCUUGGCGGACUCGAGUGGAUGCUUUGAUGACGAUCAAGUAUCCCCAAGGAUGAGUUUUGGCAUGAGCCAAAAUUUUAUGAGAAACAUAAGCCUUGAAAAUCAUUUUAAUUGAGUUAUAAUUGUUUUCAUGGGAUGGAAUAAAUUUCUAAGUUAUGAAAUGCAUAUUGGGAUGGGAUAUUUUAUUGUCUCCAUUUACUUGGCUUUAGAUACUUUAGAUGGUAUCUAUUUACUCAUUGGGAUUACAAAAUCUCAUUCGUUCUUCUAUACAUUUUUCAGGCUCAGGACAGUUUGUAGAUAGUCGAGUAGGACGAGAACUAAGCUCGAAACUGCAUUAUAGAAAGUAAGAGUUCACAAUCUUACAUCCUCUUGGUCAAUUGGGGCUCACGUGUCAUUGUAGAUCAAAUCUUAUAUUUUGGUUAUCUGUAUUUCUAUUCAUACAAUUUUUACUUUACUUUCAUGUGUGAAA
rnacentral:lncRNA from 1 species